UACAGAGGCCACGAGCGUUAGGCGGAAUCACUGGGCUUAAAGCGUGUGUAGGUGGAUGGGUAAGUACCUUGUGAAAUCCCACGACUCAAUCGUGGAACUGCUUGGUAUACUGCCUGUCUUGAGGCACUCAGGGGCGAGCGGAACAGAUGGUGGAGCGGUGAAAUGCGUAGAUAUCAUCUGGAACGCCAAUGGUGAAGACAGCUCGCUGGGGGUGUACUGACACUGAGACACGAAAGCCAGGGGAGCAAACGGG
rnacentral:rRNA from 1 species